GACGAACGCUGGCGGCGUGCCUAAUACAUGCAAGUCGAACGCUGAAGGAGGAGCUUGCUCUUCUGGAUGAGUUGCGAACGGGUGAGUAACGCGUAGGUAACCUGCCUGGUAGCGGGGGAUAACUAUUGGAAACGAUAGCUAAUACCGCAUAAUAGUAGAUGUUGCAUGAUAUUUACUUAAAAGGUGCAAUUGCACCACUACCAGAUGGACCUGCGUUGUAUUAGCUAGUUGGUGGGGUAACGGCUCACCAAGGCGACGAUACAUAGCCGACCUGAGAGGGUGAUCGGCCACACUGGGACUGAGACACGGCCCAGACUCCUACGGGAGGCAGCAGUAGGGAAUCUUCGGCAAUGGACGAAAGUCUGACCGAGCAACGCCGCGUGAGUGAAGAAGGGUUUCGGAUCGUAAAGCUCUGUUGUAAGAGAAGAACGAGUGUGAGAGUGGAAAGUUCACACUGUGACGGUAGCUUACCAGAAAGGGACGGCUAACUACGUG
rnacentral:rRNA from 1 species